UAUCUAUAAAUUGACGAGCAAAUCCAACAAAACAUCUCCAACAAGACAACACUCAUUUAACUAAAUUUCAAUCUCAAAUAUGGGUAGGAAAGUAAUUGCUUUUCUUAACAUUUUGAUAGUAAUUGUUCUCAUAAUGUCCCCCCAAGUCGCUUUAGCCAGGAAACUUGCGCAGAGUACCAAUACCCCGUAUUUAGAGAAAAAGUCGGAGACCCGUAAAGCAUUGAAUCCCAAACGAUCUUAUUGCAACAAAAACGCUCCAUACUCCAAAUGCUAUCGUUCUCCACCACCUCAUUACACCUCGCAACUUCCAUGAGAAAUUGCAGUCCCAUAUCCGGACCGAAAUCGAUCAGUUUUAUCCAUACAAAACUACGUAUUCGUACUGUAACAAAUGCCUAUGUUGGCGCUUAGUAAAAUAAAGAGGCAUUAAAGUCGACUUUUGUAUCUAUUUAUGCUUUCACAUAGGAUUAUGGAUGAAAGCUUUCUAAUUUCUGUACAAGUGCGCAAUGUAAUGCUUAAACAUCUAUAAUUACUAGUAUUAUAUAACAGUAUUACUAAUGUUAA